AUUGAACGCUGGCGGAAUGCUUUACACAUGCAAGUCGAACGAUGAACCUUAGCUUGCUAAGGGGAUUAGUGGCGAACGGGUGAGUAAUAUAUCGGAACGUACCUUGUAAUGGGGGAUAACUAGUCGAAAGAUUAGCUAAUACCGCAUACGCCCUGAGAGGGAAAGUAGGGGAUCUUCGGACCUUACGUUAUAAGAGCGGCCGAUAUCUGAUUAGCUAGUUGGUGGGGUAAUGGCCUACCAAGGCGACGAUCAGUAGCUGGUCUGAGAGGACGACCAGCCACACUGGAACUGAGACACGGUCCAGACUCCUACGGGAGGCAGCAGUGGGGAAUUUUGGACAAUGGGCGCAAGCCUGAUCCAGCCAUUCCGCGUGAGUGAAGAAGGCCUUCGGGUUGUAAAGCUCUUUCGUAAGGGAGGAAAACUUACAUUCUAAUAAAGUGUGAGGCUGACGGUACCUUGAUAAGAAGCACCGGCUAACUACGUGCCAGCCGCCGCUGUAAGAC
rnacentral:rRNA from 1 species